CCGGCGCACGGGUGAGUAACGCGUAUGCAACUUACCUAUCAGGAGGGGGAGAACCGGCGAAAGUCGGACUAAUACCGCAUGAAGCAGGGGCCCCGCAUGGGGAUAUUUGCUAAAGAUUCAUCGCUGAUAGAUAGGCAUGCGUUCCAUUAGGCAGUUGGCGGGGUAACGGCCCACCAAACCGACGAUGGAUAGGGGUUCUGAGAGGAAGGUCCCCCACAUUGGUACUGAGACACGGACCAA
rnacentral:rRNA from 1 species